GGAUGAUCAACUUGUCCCAGUUUGCCUGGGAUUUUCCCUAUUUGUACCAAAAGUCUUAUGUCCUGGGAAAUCCUUCAGUUCCAGGUAUAUCUGAGUGAUUGACCACCCUACCCAGGAAAUAAGGAAGGAGCAAGGGGUCCUUAAAGUGUUAUCCCUACCAGAAUCUGCCUCUUUCUCUCUCUGCAAAAGUAGAGAAGCUGCAACCUGUGGGACCUGGUGCUUCCAUCCAGCUGCAUGGGGAAGACAUUUAUGUCAACUUGAGCAGAAGGAGCCAAGUGAGUGGUGCCUUGCGGGAGAGGGAAAAUGAAGAAGUGCGCAAGGUCCACACUGGUGAUGAUUCCACACUCAGAGCUCUGAGCUGUCAGAACCCAAAGAAUCAUCUAGAAACCAAGAGACAAUGGGAAAUAAGGCAACAGCAAGGUGGAAGAGGUGAACAUGAACCUGGUGAAAACCUGCAGGAAGAUCAGGGUAAGGGUAUUGCCCUUCCCAAAGGUGGGGGUGGUGCCCAGGCCAUCCUCUCAGGACAUCACAUAAACAUGGACACUAGAGGCUCCUAG
rnacentral:lncRNA from 13 species